UGAUCCGGCGCCGAAGAUUUCCGGGGCUAAAACUUACUACCGAAGCUACGGCAUCAGUAAUGAUGGGUAGGGGGGCUUCCCAUACGGGUUGAAGCAUGACCGUAAGGACAUGUGGACAGUAUGGGAGUGAGAAGGUUGGCAUGAGUAGCGAGAUGUGGGUGGGAAUCCCACAGGCCGUAAACCCAAGGUUUCCAGGGGAAGGUUCGUCCGCCCUGGGUUAGUCGGGACCUAAGCUGAGGCCGAAAGGCGUAGGUGAUGGACAACAGGUUGA
rnacentral:rRNA from 1 species